rnacentral:sRNA from 1 species
CGGGUGACGGCCGCCGGCGGCCACUUCGUGGCGGGUGAACCUGUCCUGCCCCGCGUGCCAGCUCUGGAGAACACCGCUCGGGAUCAUCCCUUCAUUUCUGGAGGUCAGCCCCUGGGGUGCCACCUGGUGCGCGCCGCCCUGCUGGCGUCAGAGCAGUGACGAUGACGCGCCCG